UGGCCACAUGUCUAAUUCAAUCACUCGUACGCCUUGUUGGAGUGCCUUGAUUAUAGGCACGUCGCUGCAAUCACUAUUGAGUUGAUUCCCAGUGAGAUAGGUAUUGUGACUGGUGUAAAUGAAAUAGUGAGACAAUGGAGCAGUCAUGUCAUGGUGAACCUAAAAUGCAACCAAAAAAAAAACAAACUAAAAUUAUUGAUGAACAUCAUAGUAAAGACAAAAUCAUAAAAACAAUAGAAAGAUCACAAUCUCUUUCCUAUAUAUAACCAAUUGCUAGAUUUGCUACUCUUUUUUGUAGUACUCUGAUACACUUUCCACAAGAUGCUGAGCUAAAGUUAAAUUUUAAUAAGAGGCCUUUAAAUGAGAUUUAUAUUCUGAGAAACAAUAAGUUAGAAGUAUGUACCUUUUUGUGUGUGGAGAUAGAAACAUUGAGAUCACUGAAGAGAUAUCGAAAAAAUCCGUCAAGAUUGAGACCUUUUUUAUGGAAAACAAUGUUAAGAUGUUCAUGAACAAGUUUGAGUGCAGAUUCCAUCACAGUUUCAGCUUCUUCUUUUGUAAC
rnacentral:lncRNA from 1 species